GUGAACGCUGGCGGCGUGUCUAAGGCAUGCAAGUCGAACGGUUCAGUUGAGUUUCCGCAAGGAAAUUUUGCUGGAUAGUGGCGAACGGGUGAGUAACACCUUGGUAACCUACCUCCGAGUGGGGUAUAACUCCGCGAAAGCGGAGCUAAUCCUCCAUGCGCUCUGUGAUUACUUAUCAUAGAGCAAAGGCCCGCAAGGGCCGCUCGGAGAGGGGCCUAGGUCCCAUCAGCUAGUUGGUAGGGUAAUGGCCUACCAAGGCUAUGACGGGUAGCCGGUGCGAGAGCACGGUCGGCCUCACUGGGACUGAGAUACUGCCCAGACACCUACGGGUGGCUGCAGUGAGGAAUAUUGCACAAUGGGGGGAACCCUGAUGCAGCAACGCCGCGUGGAGGAUGACGCAUUUCGGUGUGUAAACUCCUUUUAUAUGUCAAGAAAAUGACGGUAGCAUAUGAAUAAGCACCGGCUAACUCCGU
rnacentral:rRNA from 1 species